rnacentral:rRNA from 1 species
UACGAAGGGUGCAAGCGUUACUCGGAAUUACUGGGCGUAAAGCGUGCGUAGGUGGUGAGUUAAGUCUGUCGUGAAAGCCCCGGGCUCAACCUGGGAAUGGCGAUGGAUACUGGCUCGCUAGAGUGCGGUAGAGGGUGGUGGAAUUCCCGGUGUAGCAGUGAAAUGCGUAGAGAUCGGGAGGAACAUCAGUUGCGAAGGCGGCCACCUGGACCAGCACUGACACUGAGGCGCGAAAGCGUGGGGAGCAGACAGG